GCACUUUCCCCAAAUUCAUAUUCUCCCCAAAUCAAAAAUCAUCCUCCAUUUCCCCAAGAACAAGAAAAAAAUCCCUGACUCUUAAGCCAAGUUUUGAAGGAAAUAUAUCAACAUUCGGGUUCAAUCUUUCAGAUCUGAUAAUCUAAGGGUCUGAGGCUCAAUCUAGAGGUCCUGCUAAGCCGUAGAAUUAUCAUACAGAAGUGUGCAGUUGGUGAGCCUUCUUUAUUCCGGAAGGCCUGUUUCUUUUCAGACAUUUGUCAUUUACUUUGGUUUAGGUCCACUGGGGGCCUUGUCCCAGUUUCAGACAGUUUGCUUAUUUUGUAUGUAUUAGAGAUUUCGGAAACAGAAACAGAUGUUGUUUACAUGUUGAUGGGUUUUCUUUCGUAUUGAUAUACUUGACCCA